rnacentral:rRNA from 1 species
AGACUUAAGGCGAACCCCCGGGAACUGGGACUAAUAUUCGAUAGGAGAGAAUGCCUGCAACGGCUUCUCGCCUAAAAGAUGCUGGGACCAUGCAUCCAGUAUCGCCCGAGAAUUAGGCUGCGGCCGAUCAGGUUGUUGGUGAGGUAACGGCUCACCAAGCCUAUAACCGGUACGGGCCGUGAGAGCGGUAGCCCGGAGAUGGACACUGAGACAAGGGUCCAGGCCCUACGGGGCGCAGCAGGCGCGAAAACUCCGCAAUGCGCGCAAGCGUGACGGGGCUACCCCGAGUGUUAUCCGCUGAGGACAACUUUUCUUUGGUGUAAGGAGCCAGAGGAAUAAGGGGAGGGCAAGCCUGGUGUCAGCCGCCGCGGUAAUACCAGCUCCCCGAGUGGUGGGGGUAAUUAUUGGGCCUAAAGCGUCCGUAGCUGGCUUAGCAAGUCUUUUGUUAAAUCCAGCGAUCCAAUCGUUGGACUGCAGGAGAUACUGCUAGGCUAGGGGGCGGAAGAAGCCGACGGUACUCCUGAGGUAGGGGUGAAAUCCUAUAAUCCCAGGAGGACCACCAGUGGCGAAGGCGGUCGGCUAGAACGCGCUCGACGGUGAGGGACGAAAGCUGGGGGAGCGAUCCGGAUUAGAUACCCGGGUAGUCCCAGCUGUAAACGAUGCAGGCUAGGUGUUGGCGUGACUACGAGUCUCGUCAGUGCCGCAGGGAAACUGUUAAGCCUGCCGCCUGGGGAGUACGGUCGCAAGACUGAAACUUGAAGGAAUUGGCGGGGGAGCAC